UCAAGUUUAAUUCACAUUCAAUUUGAAAUUAAUUCAAUUAAUAAAAAUAAAAGGGGAAUUAGGUUAGAGUUGUUACCUUCCAUGUUAUCUGAAUUCCAUCUCUCCCUUUCAAAACGUGAUGGCGGCGCCUCCGAUUUCCCCUGCGACCAAACUCCAAUCAAAGCUCCGAACACCGCCACUAAUCCUCGCCCAUGAGAACAACGUUUCUAUCUCAGCCUCUCUUCGUCUCUCGACUCAGAACGGUUCUAAAGCUUUCUCGAUUUCAUCCCUCGCUCUCAUCGUCUCUCAACGACCUUCUCUCGUUUUGAUGUUGCAUUUGGCGAAGUUGUGGAUUAAUGAAGGGUGCGAUGAAGAUUGCUGCGAUUGAAGUUGUUGCAGUUGAAGAUUGAAUGAAGCGCAGAAUUGAGGAAGAAGAUUGUUGCGAAGAGGUGAUAAAUUUUUAUGUAACCGUUUUCUGUUAGAGUCUUUUUUGGUGGUGAUUUCGUUCUUUUCCUUUAUUACAGAAAUUUGAGAGUGGAGAGAUUGAAGAUCGAUAGCGUUUGAGGUUGAAACUUUGAAGAUGAUGAAGAGCUGAAUGUUGUUGUUGCCUUGUUGGAUCAAAGGGAGAACGAAUUAGAAAGGUUGAGGAAGUGAUUGAUGUAGGAUGCAAAAGAUGGAUUCUGAAUUGGUCAAGAGAGGGAGAGGAAGAUUGAAGAUCGGUUGAAGGUUGAAUGUGAAGUGUGGAUGAAGAAUGAUUAUGGUGUAGCAGUGGUGGAGAAUUGAAGGUGGUUGAGAGAUUGAAUUAUGGAGGAGAAGAAGUAGUGAAGAUGAAGAAUGGGAGUGAAGUGAAGAGAGAAUGAAGAUGAUGAGAAGGUGGUUCAGAGAUGGAAACAGAGUCGAAGAAGAUGAGAAAUGAAAAAGAGUGAAUGAUGGUUUUGGAGAUGAUGAAUGAAGGGUGAAGGGAGUGGUGGAUGAAGAAACCAAGGGAGAGAAAUGGAGAUUGAAGGAGAGUGAAAAAAUGAAGCGAGAGCCUCAAAAUGGUGGAGGAAGCUAUGUUUUAUAUCGUUUGAAGAUGAAGAGAAGUUCAGGUUCUGAGGUUUAUGUGAAUAUAAAGGCUGGCUAUAUUUACUUGUGCAGGAUCACAACGGGACGUUUUGGGAUUUGAUGAAUCAAAUGUGGCAGGUUUGUUCUUUUAUGAUGUGGGCGGAAUGAGAUGAUAACCAUGGCUGUGCGAACCGGUCUUAAAGCUAAUGAACAGUUAGGACAAAACUUAAGGUAGGUUGGAAGUGUAUGCUGGCUUCGGGUUUUUGAGACAAGUUCAACAAACUGAAGGGCAUCCCGCAACUGUCGGCACCUCUUUGCAGUGAUGAUUAGACGAAUGCAGGUCAUGCUAUUUGUUAGCCUUGUCAAUCUCUUGUUAAGAAUAUUUGAUCUGUGAUUAUUAUGUGCAAUCUGACUUGGUAUGGAGGUGGUUUCAUGGUUUCUGCUUUUGCAAUUUCAAAUAUAUUCGAAUGGUGGAUGAUGGAUAGUGUUUAGAUCAAUUUAAUUGGAACUUGUUAGAUAGUUAGGGAAAACUGAAUGUUAGUUGUUAGGACCAUUGGUGAAAAUGAAAAUUAGAUGUUAAUUUGAAUUGGUUCAAAGAAUGGGUACAGGGAUAUUUUGGGAUAACUUGUGUAUACAGGUCUGAAAUUGUUGUUAACAUAUGAUGCAGGGUUGGCUAUGGUUUGACUGAACAUUCUGAAGUGCGGUGUUGACUCGGUAUUUUUAAUGGAUUUUUGUAGGUGACAAGUUUGAUAAUCUUGGAGCUGAUUUGGCCAUGAAGAAAAGAAGAAUUGGAAUGAAUACGAAGGAAGUUCGAGGAGAAAGAGGAAAUGGAAGACCUUAAUCCUUAAGGAUAAGUUUAGGAAUGUAUUUGAAUGAAAUAAUUUGUGUAAUUUUCUAUGUAAUGUUUGUACCCCAUUCUUUAAUGUACUUCCUUUUUGUAACAUUGACUUGUAAUGGUUCUUGAACUAUGCCAUGAGCCUUAAUUUCCUGGAACUCGAAUUCAAAGCGAACUUUCCUUUCAUUUGUAA